GUUGCCAUCAUUCAGUUGGGCACUCUAGCGAGACUGCCGGUAAUAAACCGGAGGAAGGUGGGGAUGACGUCAAGUCAUCAUGGCCCUUACGGCCUGGGCUACACACGUGCUACAAUGGUCGGUACAAAGGGUUGCCAAGCCGCGAGGUGGAGCUAAUCCCAUAAACCGAUCGUAGUCCGGAUCGCAGUCUGCAACUCGACUGCGUGAAGUCGGAAUCGCUAGUAAUCGUGAAUCAGAAUGUCACGGUGAAUACGUUCCCGGGCCUUGUACACACGUCGACGCGGCCG
rnacentral:rRNA from 1 species